AUUGAACGCUGGCGGCAUGCCUUACACAUGCAAGUCGAACGGCAGCACGGGAGCAAUCCUGGUGGCGAGUGGCGAACGGGUGAGUAAUAUAUCGGAACGUGCCCAGUCGUGGGGGAUAACGUAGCGAAAGCUACGCUAAUACCGCAUACGAUCUAUGGAUGAAAGCGGGGGAUCGCAAGACCUCGCGCGAUUGGAGCGGCCGAUAUCAGAUUAGGUAGUUGGUGAGGUAAAGGCUCACCAAGCCGACGAUCUGUAGCUGGUCUGAGAGGACGACCAGCCACACUGGGACUGAGACACGGCCCAGACUCCUACGGAGGCAGCAGUGGGGAAUUUUUGGACAAUGGGCGCAAGGCCUGAUCCAGCAAUGCC
rnacentral:rRNA from 1 species